rnacentral:rRNA from 1 species
AGUUUUGAGCUAAAUAUAUUUUAAAUAUUAGUUACUUUAUGAAGGUGUUGUAAAACCUUAUUAAAAAAUAUAUUUAGGGGUGAUAGGCUUUUCAAAAACUAAGAUAUCUUGAAUCUAAUUAAAAGUAUGUAGUACAUUAAACACAACUAUUAAGUGAUUAGGCUUUAUAGAAUUAUUAACUUAUAAGAUUUUAUUUACUAUAAUUUAAUAUUUAAGUUCAUAAAUAUAUUAAUAUUCAUAUAUUUUAGUUUAUAAUAGAGUAAUUUGAUAGAUUUAAGUUUUUAUUUCUUAUAAUAAUGUUAAUAUUAGUAUUAAGUUUAUAUUUAUAUGAUGAACUCGGCAAAAAUACUUCUCAACUGUUUAUCAAAAACAUAACUAUGUGAAUAAAUACAUAGCGGUUUCUGCUCAAUGAAUAAAUUAAAUAGCCGCAGUAUACUGACUGUGCAAAGGUAGCAUAAUCAAUUGACUUAUAAUUGAAGUCUAGAAUGAAUGAAAUAAUGGGAAACUACUAUAUUUUAUAAAUAUAUAUAAUUUAUUUAUGAAGUGAAAAUACUUCUAUAAAAAUAAUAGACGAGAAGACCCUAGAAAUUUUUAGUAAUUAAAAUUAUAUUUGAGAAAUUUUUUGUUGGGGCGACAAAGUAGCAUAUUAACCUACUAAGAUUAAACUUGCACUUUUUUAAUUGUUUGAAAAAAUUACUCUAGGGAUAACAGCAUAAUAUUUAAAAGUUUAUGACCUCGAUGUUGGAUUAGGAAAUAAUAACUUAAAAGGUUUUUUAUAUUGCUCUGUUCGAGCAUCAACUCCUACAUGAUC